AGUGAACGCUGGCGGUAGGCCUAACACAUGCGAGUCGAACGGCAGCACAGUAAGAGCUUGCUCUUACGGGUGGCGAGUGGCGAACGGGUGAGGAAUACAUCGGAAUCUACCUUUUCGUGGGGGAUAACGUAGGGAAACUUACGCUAAUACCGCAUACGACCUACGGGUGAAAGCAGGGGAUCUUCGGACCUUGCGCGAUUGAAUGAGCCGAUGUCGGAUUAGCUAGUUGGCGGGGUAAAGGCCCACCAAGGCGACGAUCCGUAGCUGGUCUGAGAGGAUGGUCAGCCACACUGGAACUGAGACAGGGUCCAGACGCCUACGGGAGGCAGCAGUGGGGAAUAUUGGACAAUGGGCGCAAGCAUGAUCCAGCCAUACCGCGUGGGUGAAGAAGGCCUUCGGGUUGUAAAGCCCUUUUGUUGGGAAAGAAAAGCAGCAGGUUAAUACCCCGCUGUUCUGACGGUACCCAAAGAAUAAGCACCGGCUAACUUCGUG
rnacentral:rRNA from 1 species